CAACCCAGACCGCCAGCUAAGGUCCCAAAGUCAUGGUUAAGUGGGAAACGAUGUGGGAAGGCCCAGACAGCCAGGAUGUUGGCUUAGAAGCAGCCAUCAUUUAAAGAAAGCGUAAUAGCUCACUGGUCGAGUCGGCCUGCGCGGAAGAUGUAACGGGGCUAAACCAUGCACCGAAGCUGCGGCAGCGACACUGUGUGUUGUUGGGUAGGGGAGCGUUCUGUAAGCCUGCGAAGGUGGCCUGUGAGGGUUGCUGGAGGUAUCAGAAGUGCGAAUGCUGACAUAAGUAACGAUAAAGCGGGUGAAAAGCCCGCUCGCCGGAAGACCAAGGGUUCCUGUCCAACGUUAAUCGGGGCAGGGUGAGUCGACCCCUAAGGCGAGGCCGAAAGGCGUAGUCGAUGGGAAACGGGUUAAUAUUCCCGUACUUGGUGUUACUGCGAAGGGGGGACGGAGAAGGCUAUGUUGGCCGGGCGACGGUU
rnacentral:rRNA from 1 species